AUUUAUUUAUUUUUAUGUUCUAAAAUUGGAACGACACAGAGAAAAGAAGAUUUGCAUGGACCCUGCGCAAGGAUAACAGGCAAAGUUGUGAAACGUUCUAUAUUUUU